rnacentral:misc_RNA from 1 species
CCCCCCCCCCCCCCCCCCCCCGGCGCACAGAUGGUGAAAUCUAUUAUUGUCCCAAGCUUUGAUCCUCCUACUACAGUGCCAUUUGUGAUAGAGGAGGAGGUUUUUGAAGGUCCAGACAAGUUUCGAUGGAAGAAGAGAAGACUCCAGCCUGAGGUGAAAGAAAAUAUGGUGUUUACCUAGGCUUUUACUUCUCAAAGAGGAAACCUCCUAUUACUCCUUAGGGCUUUUUAGUUAAGGGUAAAAGAGUCAAGUCCAAGGGUGCCACCACUUAGGGUCCUUUUGGCCUAGAAAUAAACCAAUCGACUGGGCUGUUGCCCUCAUAAUUUACUAUGGAUGCCCCUCCUUCUUUGGUUGCCGAAUCCAUAAUGAAGCAAAUUUUUAGCGAAUACAUAGAUCUGAAGGACUUGAAGUUUAUGUCUGUGAUGAGCCAUUUUUUAAAGUUUCCUACUGCGGCUCAGGGUCUUUCUACCAUUCCCCCUCCCUCUUUUUUUGGAGAUGUAAAAGAAAACUCCUCUGUAGAUUGUCUCUUGUACAUUAUCUUACUUUCUUUAUUCUUGAUUCUAACGUUGUUUUCUUUGUUUGAUAGGCUCUGGUUGGGGUUUUGGAAAUAGAGCAUCAUGAUGAGGAGUUCGCAUUAAAUCACUGAAUGGCCAUAACUAAGGCUUGCACUAAAGCGAGGGAGAAGCUCCGGGAAGAGAAGUGUCCAAAGUACGCUGCUGAUUUUGAAAGGCUGAUAAACUUAGAUCCUCAUAAUAAAUUAUCAAAAUUGGAGAAGGUCCUCUUAGGAUCCCAGAAUAUGUAGCUACAAAGGGAGCUUGAUGACAUAAAGAUGGGAGGGAGGAGCGCUGUCUGCAAACCGAGAUGACCUUUGUCCAACAGGACAUCGCCCACGAAAAGCUUAAAACUAAGUUAUACCAGGCGAAAGAGGAGCUAGCACGGACUCAAGAAAAUUCAAAUGAUUGUAUUUGAUAACUAGAGGGUGAAUUAAAGCAAUCCGAGAAAAAAUUGAUACAUUACCCCUAGUCUAAAGAAUUCAAGAAAAUUCUUUAUUCAAGAGCCAUGCGAUUUAAGGGCUUAUGGGUUCAAUAUAAGACUUCUCACAGCUCGUCAGUUGCCAAGCACUCCUUUGUCUGAGUUGAGGGUUUAUGAGAAAGAUUCAGAAGGUGAGGAUGUUGUUUGUGGUGAAAAUGAUCUCCCUCCAAAGGAUAAGGUUGUCCGACCUCCAUCUAUUGCUCCUUCGCCACAGCCUAUAGAUCUUGACUUUUCUAAAGCUGCCCCUAGUUCUAAAAAUGUAGAUUUUUAAUUUACUAUCUGACACUUUAUAAACAUUUUAUUAUAUGUAAUUAUUCGAUUAUUAAUAUAUUUUUAUUUAUUGUUAA